CACCGGAGAAAGUAGAUCCGUCCGCCGAGCAGCGCAGCAGCAGCAAAGGCCAGCCAAGGGAGAUCGUAUAUCAGCCAUCUCGCGUCGCCACGAAAACACGACAGUCGUUCGUCAUGCCUUGGAUAUAACAGCAAAUCCUCCACGGCACCCGCUUUAUAUAACGCAAGAAGGCAGCUGCAAGGACACGAGGAUGUGAAAGAGCCAGUGCAGCGCGACUUCACGUAGUGCAGAGGAGCCAAUGCCAAAAUAUCAAAAUACAUUGGCAUGUUAUUUGGACAAGAAAACUAGGACAACCCAGGACGUGCAUUUCUCAGCACCCAGUCAACUGCCAAAAGUGACUCAAACACAGGCCACCAGUAAGUGGACAUCAGUUGCAAUUUCACAUUAUGCAGUUGGCGGCUGCCUUGUACGGAGGCUUUUUUUUUUAAUGAGAUGGUGAUGUCGUUCUAAUGUACAUUUUGACCACAAAGGUGCGAUCAUGUCUCACAGAGGCAUAUAUGGUUGUUAUUCUCUGCGAGGGACGUGUUCUCGUGUCCGUGAAGCAUUUGUGUUUGGCAGUAUUGUCGCCCAAUGAGUCGGAUAUAAACACUAACUCGCCACUGCCGGCAAGUAGUUGCGAGAAAUGCAUUAUGACGCUGUAAAGUUAUUUCAUUAAUUCGAAGGAAAGUUUUGCAGCAGGAAAAAAGGUUGCUAUUCCAGGUAAACGUCUUUUUCUCACAGGUUAUUUAGCCAAACUGUGGAUGCAUGAAAUUCGUGACUUAUGAAUAGAUAUUAAUUUAUUCUUUAGUAAUGCUUCUAAAAGAGACUAGGAAUAGCAUGUGACUACCUCUGCAAUCAGCAGACCAUACAUUUACAGUCAUAAGUGGCAGUUCCAUGCAGUCUCGCACUUUAUAUAACCUUUCCUUUCAGCAACAUUGGAACUGGUGGCUGCGUUUUCAG